AGAAAGUAAAUCCUGAAAACGGUGACUAAACCCAGCCAUCUCUCCUUAUGGAAACACUUUCCCACCUUCUUAAACCUUUUUGGAGGCACGAGGGAAAAUAACCCUUGUAUUUAUGCAAAUUUCAAAGUGGCGUGUGAUGAUGGAAACAAAACAGUGCUGGAGCGCAGCCAAGGCAUGGCACCGACGGGGCCUCUCAGCUGCUCGCCUCCCGAUUCUUCGGGGGAAGCAGCUGUAGAGAAAUGAAAAUACAGAAGCCCCCGCACACACCCGCCGCCGCCCGCGCGCAUUCCAGCACCCGUCACCUCGGAGGCGGCAGGAUGCGGGCUCUGGCCAGGCGCUGCCUGCAGCCUGGAGCACCCUGUCGUCCCCCACAAGCCUCCCUGUCCCGCUGUUCCCGAUUCCCCUUUCAGGAAUUUACAAACAUUUUCCGCAGAUCAAUAUCUGUAUUGAUUAUUCAUUGUGAGCGAGUCGUGUGUCUUUGGUGAUCCAACCUGGCAGAGUGAGCAGCCAAAGGCUGCAGCAGAUACAGGGAGGGAAAAAGAGGAGGAAAAAGCCCUACAGAAGGCAAGAGAGACCCAGAUCUGGCUGGGUUUGCUGCUGCCAGCAAUGGAGACGGAUGGAGAGGAAGGAAGGAAGAAAAUGGGAAUGGCAUGAAAGGGAAUGAAGAGACGGAGAGCCGAGGAGAAAAAGCGAGAGCAGGAAAAACAAAGUCACCGCUGGAGAACUGGUGCCGGGGCACGCCGGCAGCCUGGAGAGAUUCCAACCUUGUGCUCGCCCUUCUGCACAGGGAUGCGAUGGACUUAUUGCUUCGGGAGUGAAAAGUGACUCACGGUUUUGGUAUCUGCUACGUAAGAGCUUUGGGGGGAUUCCUUGGCUGGCUGACAGAAAGGGAAGAAAGCAGCAGCAGUGAGGUAAAACGCGAUCCCUUCCUCCUGCCUUCCUGGGAAUACGCGUCGCCCGGGCUGGCUGGAGCAGCUCGCUGCUCGCUUAUGAUAUGCAAAAGGAGAAUAAUUAAAAGCGCCAGCAUCACUUGCAAAGUGAGUAAACACAAAGCCUUUCAAAACAUGCUCUUCAGCUAAUGAGAAGCUGUAAUUUCUUAUACUUAAAGGCAAAAAAGACCCUGAUGAGGCUCGGUGGAGUGUGCGCGCGCGCCUGCGUGUGUGUGCAUGUGUUUGUAGAUAUGAGAGAAUCAGUUAAUUGUUGAUGAUGUUUAGAAAAGGGAUUAUGAGAAAAGACACUGAAAUGAUGACAGGGAACAUCUUGGAUCAGAGCCAGAGAAAUAAAAUAAUCAAGGACAAUCAAGCCUGCAGCUCCGGAGAAAGCGCCGACUGUUCUGCCAGGGACUUGGAAGGAAUUUCCCCGCGCUGCCGAGCUGCAGCUGGAAUACGUGCUUGGCACCAGGAGAGAGAACUGCAAGGAGCAGUUUGCUUGGAGCAUGAGACCACAGAAGAGAGAACUAUGGAGCUCUGCUAUAAUUCAGAGGGUAAACAGCUUUGUCUGCUUAUGUGUCAGGUGGAGACUUGAUUUUGUCCAUAUCUGACCUGCCCUGAAAACGCAACUUCUGAAAUCCCCUGGCUGAAGCCGGAGCUGAGGAUUCUCCAGACGCCUCUCCAGAACUACUGUGACGUUAUGAAAACAAAGGAAAGGGAGCCAGAGGAAUUAAGUUCUCCUGUGGCUGCAGGACCUGAUGGACCUGACCAUGGAAACAGUCUCGGGAAUAGAUUCCUUCCUUAAUUCUGGAAAUCAGGACCCCCUUGCUCCAGCUGGGGAUUGCAGCACAAACACACAGGAAAGGUGGCGGUCAUCGGGAAUACCAGGAGCAAGCUUUCCUUCCAACCUGGGCAUCUAGCUGCUGUCCUGAACGGAUGGAUUUUAAUAAAUGUUGGCUUUCUCUUGGCCUGAGGUUGGGUGGGGAGAGAGAAUAAAGGGAAAUUUAAACCAUCCUGUGACUGCCGUGUUGUCAGUGAGCUACAGAAAUGCUGUUCCUUUGUUUUGGAUGCUAAACUCCGUCUGACUUCAUUGUUGCUGGAUUUUGGCACGUUACACUCUGGGCUUCUCCAGCAGCAGAAACACAUGGUCUAUUAAAGUGGGAAUCUUUGGGGACGCGGAGGCAGAGGAACGAGCCAAUCAUACGUGGCUUUUGCACAUUCCCUGUUUUCCAGCUUUGCGGAAAGCUUUCCGGAUGGUGCGGAUGACCCUAGAAAUUCAUUAACAGCAAUGAAAGACGGGAUGCAAAAACCUAUAAUGAAAACAAAUGAUGUAUUUAAACGGUGCUGGGGCUGAAAGGAGGGGGUUCGUGGCGCCGGGAGCAGAGGAGGAGGAAAUCCUGCCACCUGGAAAAUGCCUGGACAUGCGUGUCCUUCCCCGUGCCAAGGCUCCAAGGAGACAGUUACUACAAAGCCGGUGGUGUGUGUAAAGAUGUCGUAGCAUUGUCUUUACAGAGCCUCAAACAAAUACCAGCGACUGGUCAGAAGGAGAGCUCGGUGCUCAUUGUCCCCGCUCCGGCUGCCGGCAAUGCCGGAAUUCCUCCCUGGUACUCGAUGGGCUCUAAUUAGAAACAACUUGCAAUGCCCGUAAAGGUUUAAAAUCACUCGGGUUCGUCCACACGGCUCCUCUGCCCGGGCCCAGCAGUGUCCCUCAGCAGCAGCCCUGACGGGAAGGUGUGGUGGCCAGGGGGACGGCACGGACCAGGCGCCACCACUGUCCUGGACCUGGCCUCGGGAUGCUGGACCUGACACCAGGCUCUUCAGGUGUCUUCCUCUCCUGUGUUAUUUCUUAGACAGGUCAUUUCACAAAUGUUACUGUCCCCUAAAGUGUCACGUGGUUGUGAGAAUAAAAAGAUUUAUUC